rnacentral:rRNA from 1 species
GAUGAACGCUGGCGGCGUGCCUAAUACAUGCAAGUCGAGCGAAUGGAUUAAGAGCUUGCUCUUAUGAAGUUAGCGGCGGACGGGUGAGUAACACGUGGGUAACCUGCCCAUAAGACUGGGAUAACUCCGGGAAACCGGGGCUAAUACCGGAUAACAUUUUGAACCGCAUGGUUCGAAAUUGAAAGGCGGCUUCGGCUGUCACUUAUGGAUGGACCCGCGUCGCAUUAGCUAGUUGGUGAGGUAACGGCUGACCAAGGCAACGAUGCGUAGCCGACAUGAGAGGGUGAUCGACCACACUGGGUCUGAGACACGGCCCGGACUCCUACGGGAGGAAGAAGUAGGGAAUCUUCCGCAAUGGACGAAAGUCUGACGGAGCAACGCCGCGUGAGUGAUGAAGGCUCUCGGGUCGUAAAACUCUGUUGUUAGGGAAGAACAAGUGCUAGUUGAAUAAGCUGGCACCUUGACGGUACCUAACCAGAAAGCCACGGCUAACUACGUGCCAGCAGCCGCGGUAA